rnacentral:rRNA from 1 species
CCUACGGGAGGCAGCAGUGAGGAAUAUUGGUCAAUGGACGAGAGUCUGAACCAGCCAAGUAGCGUGAAGGAUGACUGCCCUAUGGGUUGUAAACUUCUUUUAUAUGGGAAUAAAAUGUUCCACGUGUGGGAUUUUGUAUGUACCAUAUGAAUAAGUAUCGGCUAACUCCGUUCCAGCAGCCGCGGUAAUACGGAGGAUCCGAGCGUUAUCCGGAUUUAUUGGGUUUAAAGGGAGCGUAGGUGGAUUGUUAAGUCAGUUGUGAAAGUUUGCGGCUCAACCGUAAAAUUGCAGUUGAAACUGGCAGUCUUGAGUACAGUAGAGGUGGGCGGAAUUCGUGGUGUAGCGGUGAAAUGCUUAGAUAUCACGAAGAACUCCGAUUGCGAAGGCAGUUCACUGGACUGCAACUGACACUGAGGCUCGAAAGUGUGGGUAUCAAACAGGAUUAGAUACCCCUGUAGUC